rnacentral:lncRNA from 1 species
AAGAAGAGGCGGCACCUUGUGGUUCUUGUUCCUUGAAUAAAGGAAGAUGUGAUAUCUUUGAGUCCUCAUUCCUUGAAUAAAGAAAGAUGUGGCAUUUUGGAUUCCUCGUUCCUUGAAAAAAGGAAAAAGCAAAUCGCCAGACGUGUUUGCCCUUGUAAAAGGAGGCUUUCUUGGCCUAUUCGUAGGAUGUUUAUUCCUCGUCACGUCAAAUGUUUAUUCCUGACUUCGUGAGAUGUUUAUUGCUUGUCUCUCACUAUCGUCG